rnacentral:rRNA from 1 species
UACGAAGGGUGCAAACGUUGCUCGGAAUUAUUGGGCGUAAAGAGCUCGUAGGCGGUUUGUCGCGUCGGCCGUGAAAUCUCCACGCUUAACGUGGAGCGUGCGGUCGAUACGGGCAGACUUGAGUUCGGCAGGGGAGACUGGAAUUCCUGGUGUAGCGGUGAAAUGCGCAGAUAUCAGGAGGAACACCGGUGGCGAAGGCGGGUCUCUGGGCCGAUACUGACGCUGAGGAGCGAAAGCGUGGGGAGCGAACAGG